UACGUAGGCAGCGAGCGUUGUUCGGAUUUACUGGGCGUAAAGCGUCUGUAGGUGGCUUUUUAAGUGCCGUCAAAUCCCAGGGCUCAACUCUGGACAGGCGGUGGAAACUACCAAGCUGGAGUACGGUAGGGGCAGAGGGAAUUUCCGGUGUAGCGGUGAAAUGCGUAGAGAUCGGCAGGAACACCCAGGGGGAAACCAGCCGGCUGGGGACGAGCUGACGCUCAGGGGCGAAAGCGUGGGGAGCGAACCGG
rnacentral:rRNA from 1 species